GUGAAAGUAGAACCAAGACUAAGAGGACUUGAUCAUGGAAUCUAAAUCCUAAGAUGUAAGAAAGCUGAUUAGAGAAAUCAUCUACAUCUAUCUGUUUAAUUUUGUUUGUAGCCAGACCAGAAUGGGUUUUCUUUAGAACCAAAUUUUCAGUCAUUACGAGUGCCAAAUUCAGGAUGAUUGGCACCUUUCAACGUACAGAUUCCCUCACCCCAAGUGAAAAUACCAUGGAACUAUCGACGGAAGUCAUGUGGAUAUUGCUAGCGCCUCGUUAAGAUAUAAACCGUUUUAAACUGUCUUAUGAGAAUUACGCGAUGGAAUACAGUAGGGAACUGCAUGUUGGGAAAAAAUGUUAAAAAAAUGAAAGGAAUUGUUAGGGAAACAUUUUAUGGUUAAUGACUUUUGAAAUCCUCCAAAAAUGUAAAAGAGUGCUCGCCGGAUUUCUGCACGACGCUUAUGGGGGUAAAAUAAAUGCUGUGGUUAAUACUUGUCUUCUCCUAUUUAGCUUGACUUUGACCUUUCGUUAGCAAAAGCCAUAAGAAUUUCUCUUUUAAAAAAUGCAUUUCCGAGGCCACAACCGGCUUAGGUUAGAAAACGGUAAAGCAGAUAGUAUAUUCUUACACAGCGGGAAUCAUCUAACUUGAGUUGCUAUCAACAUAAUACAUCUAAACAUAGUUCGUUUGGGCUUGAAUUUCUAAUCUGGAAAAUCAAGUUUGUACAUGUAGUUUGAGAGAAGUAAUGAGUUUGUUCACGUGCAAAAUACGUGCUUCAUAAACCUGAGAGAUCUUGAGAAAUCG